rnacentral:rRNA from 1 species
GACGAACGCUGGCGGCGUGCCUAAUACAUGCAAGUCGAACGCUGAAGCUUGGUGCUUGCACCGAGCGGAUGAGUUGCGAACGGGUGAGUAACGCGUAGGUAACCUGCCUGGUAGCGGGGGAUAACUAUUGGAAACGAUAGCUAAUACCGCAUAAUAGUAGAUGUUGCAUGACAUUUGCUUAAAAGGUGCAAUUGCAUCACUACCAGAUGGACCUGCGUUGUAUUAGCUAGUUGGUGAGGUAACGGCUCACCAAGGCAACGAUACAUAGCCGACCUGAGAGGGUGAGCGGCCACACUGGGACUGAGACACGGCCCAGACUCCUACGGGAGGCAGCAGUAGGGAAUCUUCGGCAAUGGACGGAAGUCUGACCGAGCAACGCCGCGUGAGUGAAGAAGGUUUUCGGAUCGUAAAGCUCUGUUGUAAGAGAAGAACGAGUGUGAGAGUGGAAAGUUCACACUGUGACGGUAUCUUACCAGAAAGGGACGGCUAACUACGUG